rnacentral:rRNA from 1 species
GAUGAACGCUGGCGGCGUGCCUAAUACAUGCAAGUCGAGCGAACAGACGAGGAGCUUGCUCCUCUGACGUUAGCGGCGGACGGGUGAGUAACAAGUGGAUAACCUACUUAUAAGACUGGGAUAACUUCGGGAAACCGGAGCUACUACUGGAUAAUAUAUUGAACCGCAUGGUUCAAUAGUGAAAGACGGUUUUGCUGUCACUUAUAGAUGGAUCCGCGCCGCAUUAGCUAGUUGGUAAGGUAACGGCUUACCAAGGCAACGAUGCGUAGCCGACCUGAGAGGGUGAUCGGCCACACUGGAACGAAGACACGGUCCAGACUCCUACGGGAGGCAGCAGUAGGGAAUCUUCCGCCAUGGGCGAAAGCCUGACGGAGCAACGCCGCGUGAGUGAUGAAGGUCUUCGGAUCGUAAAACUCUGUUAUUAGGAAAGAACAAAUGUGUAAGUAACUAUGCACGUCUUGACGGUACCUAAUCAGAAAGCCACGGCUAACUACGUG